rnacentral:lncRNA from 1 species
UGAAGGAGAGUUAGUGUUUGUGGGGCUAUUGGGAUAUGGCACUAUUUAUGGACUUUAAAUGCUCUCUAAAGGGACACUCGCUGGUGCAGUGAAUGGAGAACAUCGCAGCUUUGCCAAGGAAUCUGCACAAUCUUGAUCUCACCCUCUGACGGGACACCCACGGACCCUUCGUAGACUUUCUGAUGCAUAUUACAAUUACAAAUCGCUUUGCCUGAUCGAGUUUCUGAGGAACAACUAACCUGGUUAGUGGCAUUAGGUCUUUGGAAGAUAUAAUGCUUUCGCAUCUAAAUGAGAGAGAGAGUCGUAUACACUAAUCAUUCCUCCAGUCUUCAG